rnacentral:lncRNA from 1 species
CCCGAUCCCCCGGCGUCCGACCGGAGUUAUCGAAGGGGCGUUAUGGACACGUGUCUACUCAUUUAGACAACCCUACGUGUCCCGUUACUGGUCCCGAGAGACGAGCGCAUAACCUUCUUUGAAAAACGUCACACCCACGUCCAUAUACUUCUACUUACAGUCCUGCGCACAGGGAAAAUGGAAAUGGAGGAGUGAGCAACAAGUUACUCAGUGAAGUGGUUCUAGACCAGCCUGCCCGCAUGACUCUCUAUACUACUCUAUGCGGGAACUAGGACUGACUAGCCACUACAAACAGUUAAUGCAUUUUUAUCAUUUCCUAUCGUCAUCGGUAAUUUCCACAUUCACUUCAUUCAUUUCUAACAACCUAGCGAUCAAUCAAUACAAUGAUCUCGCUCAUUGCCACACACGUCGAACCCUAGACUUAACCGACUCAUCUUACCAGACCGACUCGAUCCUAAGACACCUUUAACUUCCCGUUACCCGACCAUGAGCUAAAGACCCUACAAUGCACAUCUUUUCAUCUUUUCAUCUUUUCCUCUUUUCCUCUUUUCCUCUUUUCCUCAGUGGGUAGCCCCCCACUAGGCUUCUACCCCAUAUUCAUGUGGAUUCGCCACAUCUCCUAUGGGUGCUUCCAUAUUCAUGUGGAUUCGCCACAUCUCCUAUGGAUACCUAGCGUGGACUACUUACCCCACCUACAAACCUUAGACUCACUAUAUGCUUUCCCACCCAUGCUUAACCUUAACAUCGUUCUUUCAUACUUUUACUUAUCCUUUCACUUCCUUAUCGUCUUCACUUAAUCCCUCCCAUUCCCAAUUACUUUCCCUUUUCAUUCAUACUUGUACUUGGACUCAAUCACUAGACGCCACCCGUUAUCGGUGUCACACACAAUACACAUCGCAUUCAAGUUCUACUUCAAUAUCAUUAUCAAUCAUUACUCAUCUAUCAUCCUAGCACUCAUUUCUCUCUAGCAUCCUAACUUUAAUCACAAACCACACAUGGGACUACACAUUCAAACAUACAAGCAUCACUCAUCAACCAAUCAACAUCACCACAACAUAGAUCAGUUCAUCAAGUCCCAUUUAUCAGUAUGAGGGUUCUUAUGCAUCAUGAUCCAUUCAUCUAUCAUCCUAGCAAUACCAUGUCCUAUCAUCCUAACUCCCAAUCAGGGUCUAAUCAAACCUAACUCCAACAUAUAGGAGUAUACAGAACCAUGAAAGAAGGUUGGGUUCGAAACACUCCACCUUAGUCUUAGAUCUGGAUCUGGAAACGUGGAUUGAGAAGGUUGAGAUCUGGUCAGCACCACCACUUCACGGCGCCGGCGAGAGGGAGAGAGAGAGAGAGCGUGCGACGGCGAGGAGAGAGAGAGAGAGCGACGCGCGGGAGAGAGAGAGGAGAGAGAGAGACGGCACAGGAGAGAAGGAGAGAGAGCUCGACGGCUAGGGUUUUCGACCUCCGGGAAUUCUCUGCAGAGCUUCGCUUCAGAUUUGUGAUGAGGCAAAAAGGGAGACUGCAUCUCUUUUUAUAGUAAAGGGAAGGGGAAGCCCUAGGGUUUUGCUAAAUGGGCCGUAGAGAAGCCCAUAUUCUUUGGGAAAUUUUUAUGGGCCAGGAACCGGGCCGUUACAAUCCUCCCCCGUUAAUCGGAAUUCGUCCCCGAAUUCCAAAGCCCACAUCUUUCAGACCAAUCGUUCGUUACCAAAAUGGAUUCACACAUUCACACAACAAUCAAGGGAGGCAUACAUGACACGAUAACUCUACUGGAAUCUUUAAAACCAACGAAGGAAUGUCAUAAAUAAUAAAAGGAGUAGGACUACAAUAGUUUGUAAAAGAAAACCCAGCACAUCUGCACAAUACAGAAUGCCGUAAAUAAGGGAAGGAACACCAACUCCAAUAACCAAUAAAUGAAAUAAAACCAAUAGCGAAACACGUGUCCUACUCCUACGAAUCGUCUCUAGGAUCUCGUCUAGCCACAUUGACAUGGCGAGGGGCAGCGGGACUCGGAUCCCAGGUCUUCAUCGCCCUCUGCGACGCGGUCCUCCUCGGCCUCCGCCUCCUUUCCCGCCAACCACUCCUCCGCGUGCAGUGCUUGGUUAGCCAUCCUUCUCACCAGUGCAAAUUCCAGAGGCUCCAGGACUCCCACGAGUUCUUCACGAAUAUCCCCACGUAGCCCGGCCCUAAACAGAUGACACCACUCCUCAGCUGGCUUCGGUUGACACAUCUUGGCCGUAUCCAAGAACUCCUCCAGGUAAUCUCUCACCUUGCGUGGCUUCUGAACCAUCUGGACCAGUACGUCACAAUCACAUGUUACUGUAGGUGGUUUUCGCGGACGCCCCCGCUUUCCCUUAGCGGGUGUCCCUACCGGCACCUCAUGGCCAUCGACGUCCCCACCCGGGUUUCCUCCUUCCAUGCUCGAGAGAGCGGCCACAUCGGCUGCAAUCUUCUCUUCUGCCUCCAUGGCGAAGCCUGCCAUCCGCCUCACUAACGCGAACUCCAAGGGCUCCAAAACACCCCUCAACUGCGCCUGGAGCUCCUGGCGUAGCCCGUUCUUAUACCAUAUGCACCACGUCUCUGCAUUCUUCGGUUUGCACAGCUUGGCUUGGUUGAUGAAGUCCUCCGUGUAUCCAGCGACUGAUCGGUCCUCCUGAGCAUUCUUGCUCAGCACUCCACACUGGCACUUCCCGGUGAACGCCCUUGGGGGUCCCCCUGCUGCACUUGGCGUCUUGCAGGGACGGCCACGCUUCCUCGGGGGUCCCUCUUCGGUUGCAAGCUGGAACCUCGCAUUGCCCUGCAGUAGGCGUGUCUCCAUAGCCAUCCUCUGGAAAUGAGGCAUCAACACCUUAUGCCUCACAGUCUGCUCGUGCGGGUACCUGAAUGGGAACUCCCUGUACUGUUCUUCAGGAUCCGGAAACAUGGGUAGCACCAAGUUACCCUCCCUGUCAUAGUGACGCCUUUGGGCAUACUCCCUGGUGUUCCUCCGUCCGUAGUGCAUACGCGGCAUCCUCCACUCGUAAUGGUCAAGCGAAAACAUCCUGCAAUAAAAUUUCAAUCAGAACCAUAAUAGAAGUAUGGAUAUAGUGGGAUUUUCAAUUAAUUUUUCACAAUCCGAAAAUACUUAGUAAUAUUGCAAUUUUUUUUUUUUUUUUUUUUUUUUUUUUUUUUUUCCGAAAACGAAAUAUAAAUUUUUUUUUUUUUUUUUUUUUAAAACGUCGGAAAUGCCGAUCCCUUAGGCAGAACUAAGGGAUCUUAACCCGCUCUGAUACCAAUUGUAACAGCCCGAUCCCCCGGCGUCCGACCGGUUAUCGAAGGGGCGUUAUGGACACGUGUCUACUCAUUUAGACAACCCUACGUGUCCCGUUACUGGUCCCGAGAGACGAGCGCAUAACCUUCUUUGAAAAACGUCACACCCACAUCCAUAUACUUCUACUUACAGUCCUGCGCACAGGGAAAAUGGAAAUGGAGGGGUGAGCAACAAGUUACUCAGUGAAGUGGUUCUAGACCAGCCUGCCCGCAUGACACUCUAUACUACUCUAUGCGGGAACUAGGACUGACUAGCCACUACAAUCAGUUAAUGCAUUUUUAUCAUUUCCUAUCGUCAUCUGUAAUUUCCACAUUCACUUCCAUUCAUUUCUAACAACCUAGCGAUCAAUCAAUACAAUGAUCUCACUCAUUGCCACACACGUCAAACCCUAGACUUAACCGACUCAUCUUACCAGUCCGACUCGAUCCUAUGACACCUUUAACUUCCCGUUACCCGACCAUGAGCUAAAACCCUACAAUGCACAUCUUUUCAUCUUUUCAUCUUUUCCUCUUUUCCUCUUUUCCUCUUUUCCUCAGUGGGUAGCCCCCCACUAGGCUUCUACCCCAUAUUCAUGUGGAUUCGCCACAUCUCCUAUGGGUGCUUCCAUAUUCAUGUGGAUUCGCCACAUCUCCUAUGGAUACCUAGCGUGGACUACUUACCCCACCUACAAACCUUAGACUCUCUAUAUGCUUUCCCACCCAUGCUUAACCUUAACAUCGUUCUUUCAUACUUUUACUUAUCCUUUCACUUCCUUAUCGUCUUCACUUAAUCCCUCCCAUUCCCAAUUACUUUCCCUUUUCAUUCAUACUUGUACUUGGACUCAAUCACUAGACGCCACCCGUUAUCGGUGUCACACACAAUACACAUCGCAUUCAAGUUCUACUUCAAUAACAUUAUCAAUCAUUGCUCAUCUAUCAUCCUAGCAUCAUUUCUCUCUAGCAUCCUAACUUCAAUCACAACCACACAUGGGACUACACAUUCAAACAUACAAGCAUCACUCAUCAACCAAUCAACAUCACCACAACAUAGAUCAGUUCAUCAAGUCCCAUUUAUCAGUAUGAGGGUUCUUAUGCAUCAUGAUCCAUUCAUCUAUCAUCCUAGCAAUACCAUGUCCUAUCAACCUAACUCCCAAUCAGGGUCUAAUCAAACCUAACUCCAACAUAUAGGAGUAUACAGAACCAUGAAAGAAGGUUGGGUUCGAAACACUCCACCUUAGUCUUAGAUCUGGAUCUGGAAACGAGGAUUGAGAAGGUUGAGAUCUGGUCAGCACCACCACUUCACGGCGCCGGCGAGAGGGAGAGAGAGAGAGAGCGUGCGACGGCGAGGAGAGAGAGAGAGAGCGACGCGCGGGAGAGAGAGAGGAGAGAGAGAGACGGCGCAGGAGAGAAGGAGAGAGAGCUCGACGGCUAGGGUUUUCGACCUCCGGGAAUUCUCUGCAGAGCUUCGCUUCAGAUUUGUGAUGAGGCAAAAAGGGAGACUGCAUCUCUUUUUAUAGUAAAGGGAAGGGGAAGCCCUAGGGUUUUGCUAAAUGGGCCGUAGAGAAGCCCAUAUUCUUUGGGAAAUUUUUAUGGGCCAGGAACCGGGCCGUUACAAUCCUCCCCCGUUAAUCGGAAUUCGUCCCCGAAUUCCAAAGCCCACAUCUUUCAGACCAAUCGUUCGUUACCAAAAUGGAUUCACACAUUCACACAACAAUCAAGGGAGGCAUACAUGACACGAUAACUCUACUGGAAUCUUUAAAACCAACGAAGGAAUGUCAUAAAUAAUAAAAGGAGUAGGACUACAAUAGUUUGUAAAAGAAAACCCAGCACCUCUGCACAAUACAGAAUGCCGUAAAUAAGGGAAGGAACACCAACUCCAAUAACCAAUAAAUGAAAUAAAACCAAUAGCGAAACACGUGUCCUACUCCUACGAAUCGUCUCUAGGAUCUCGUCUAGCCACAUUGACAUGGCGAGGGGCAGCGGGACUCGGAUCCCAGGUCUUCAUCGCCCUCUGCGACGCGGUCCUCCUCGGCCUCCGCCUCCUUUCCCGCCAACCACUCCUCCGCGUGCAGUGCUUGGUUAGCCAUCCUUCUCACCAGUGCAAAUUCCAGAGGCUCCAGGACUCCCACGAGUUCUUCACGAAUAUCCCCACGUAGCCCGGCCCUAAACAGAUGACACCACUCCUCAGCUGGCUUCGGUUGACACAUCUUGGCCGUAUCCAAGAACUCCUCCAGGUAAUCUCUCACCUUGCGUGGCUUCUGAACCAUCUGGACCAGUACGUCACAAUCACAUGUUACUGUAGGUGGUUUUCGCGGACGCCCCCGCUUUCCCUUAGCGGGUGUCCCUACCGGCACCUCAUGGCCAUCGACGUCCCCACCCGGGUUUCCUCCUUCCAUGCUCGAGAGAGCGGCCACAUCGGCUGCAAUCUUCUCUUCUGCCUCCAUGGCGAAGCCUGCCAUCCGCCUCACUAACGCGAACUCCAAGGGCUCCAAAACACCCCUCAACUGCGCCUGGAGCUCCUGGCGUAGCCCGUUCUUAUACCAUAUGCACCACGUCUCUGCAUUCUUCGGUUUGCACAGCUUGGCUUGGUUGAUGAAGUCCUCCGUGUAUCCAGCGACUGAUCGGUCCUCCUGAGCAUUCUUGCUCAGCACUCCACACUGGCACUUCCCGGUGAACGCCCUUGGGGGUCCCCCUGCUGCACUUGGCGUCUUGCAGGGACGGCCACGCUUCCUCGGGGGUCCCUCUUCGGUUGCAAGCUGGAACCUCGCAUUGCCCUGCAGUAGGCGUGUCUCCAUAGCCAUCCUCUGGAAAUGAGGCGUCAACACCUUAUGCCUCACAGUCUGCUCGUGCGGGUACCUGAAUGGGAACUCCCUGUACUGUUCUUCCGGAUCCGGAAACAUGGGUAGCACCAAGUUACCCUCCCUGUCAUAGUGACGCCUUUGGGCAUACUCCCUGGUGUUCCUCCGUCCGUAGUGCAUACGCGGCAUCCUCCACUCGUAAUGGUCAAGCGAAAACAUCCUGCAAUAAAAUUUCAAUCAGAACCAUAAUAGAAGUAUGGAUAUAGUGGGAUUUUCAAUUAAUUUUUCACAAUCCGAAAAUACUUAGUAAUAUCGCAAUUUUUUUUUUUUUUUUUUUUUUUUUUUUUUUCCGAAAACGAAAUAUAAAAAAUUUUUUUUUUUUUUUUUUUUUUAAACAUCGGAAAUGCCGAUCCCUUAGGCAGAACUAAGGGAUCUUAACCCGCUCUGAUACCAAUUGUAACAGCCCGAUCCCCCGGCGUCCGACCGGAGUUAUCGAAGGGGCGUUAUGGACACGUGUCUACUCAUUUAGACAACCCUACGUGUCCCGUUACUGGUCCCGAGAGACGAGCGCAUAACCUUCUUUGAAAAACGUCACACCCACGUCCAUAUACUUCUACUUACAGUCCUGCGCACAGGGAAAAUGGAAAUGGAGGAGUGAGCAACAAGUUACUCAGUGAAGUGGUUCUAGACCAGCCUGCCCGCAUGACUCUCUAUACUACUCUAUGCGGGAACUAGGACUGACUAGCCACUACAAACAGUUAAUGCAUUUUUAUCAUUUCCUAUCGUCAUCGGUAAUUUCCACAUUCACUUUCAUUCAUUUCUAACAACCUAGCGAUCAAUCAAUACAAUGAUCUCGCUCAUUGCCACACACGUCGAACCCUAGACUUAACCGACUCAUCUUACCAGACCGACUCGAUCCUAAGACACCUUUAACUUCCCGUUACCCGACCAUGAGCUAAAGACCCUACAAUGCACAUCUUUUCAUCUUUUCAUCUUUUCCUCUUUUCCUCUUUUCCUCUUUUCCUCAGUGGGUAGCCCCCCACUAGGCUUCUACCCCAUAUUCAUGUGGAUUCGCCACAUCUCCUAUGGGUGCUUCCAUAUUCAUGUGGAUUCGCCACAUCUCCUAUGGAUACCUAGCGUGGACUACUUACCCCACCUACAAACCUUAGACUCACUAUAUGCUUUCCCACCCAUGCUUAACCUUAACAUCGUUCUUUCAUACUUUUACUUAUCC